rnacentral:tRNA from 1 species
UCCCCGAUAGCUCAAUUGGCAGAGCGCUUGACUGUUAAUCAGGAUGUUACAGGUUCAAGUCCUGUUCGGGGAGCCA